GAUCCUGGCUCAGGAUGAACGCUAGCUACAGGCUUAACACAUGCAAGUCGAGGGGCAGCAUGGUCUUAGCUUGCUAAGGCUGAUGGCGACCGGCGCACGGGUGAGUAACACGUAUCCAACCUGCCGUCUACUCUUGGCCAGCCUUCUGAAAGGAAGAUUAAUCCAGGAUGGGAUCCCCCAUGAGUUCACAUGUCCGCAUGAUUAAAGGUAUUUUCCGGUAGACGAUGGGG
rnacentral:rRNA from 1 species